rnacentral:rRNA from 1 species
CUGCUCAAUGAAAUUAAAUUUUAAUAGCCGCAGUAUUUUAACUGCGCAAAGGUAGCAUAAUCAUUUGUUUUUUUAUUAAAAACUUGUAUGAAUGAUUAAAUGAAAUAAUAGCUGUCUCAAUAACAAUUUAUAUUUAAAAUUAAUAUUUUAGUAAAAACUCUAAAAUAAAUUUAAAAGACGAGAAGACCCUUUAGAAUUUAAUAAUUAUUUUAUAAUAAUUUUAACUAAAUUAUAUUUUAUAUAAAAUUAUUAUUUUAUUGGGGAAAUAAAAAAAAUUAAUUAAUUUUUUUAAAACUAAAUUAAACAUAAAUUAAUGAAAUUUUUUAUCCAUUAACUAAUGAACAUAAAUAAAAUUACCUAAGGGAUAACAGCGUUAUUUUUUUUGGAUAGCUCAUAUAGAUAAAAAAGAUUGCGACCUCGAUGUUGAAUUAAGAUUAAUAUUUAAAGAAAAUUUUAAAUUUUUAGUCUGUUCGACU